UUCGCAAUGCCCGAAAGGGUGACGAAGCGACGCCGCGUGGGGGAAGAAGGCCUUCGGGUUGUAAACCCCUGUCAGGAGUUAGGAAGGUGGAGGGUGUAAAUAGCAUCCUGCAUUGACGAAGGCUUCAGAGGAAGUCAUGGCUAACUCUGUGCCAGCAGCCGCGGUAAUACAGAGAUGGCAAGCGUUGUUCGGAAUCACUGGGCGUAAAGGGCACGUAGGCGGCCUUGCAAGUCGGGUGUGAAAGCCUCUGGCUCAAACAGAGAACUGCGCCCGAAACUACAAGGCUUGAGGAUGGAAGGGGAGAGUGGAACUUCUGGUGGAGCGGUGAAAUGCGUAGAUAUCAGAAGGAACGCCGGUGGCGAAAGCGGCUCUCUGGUCCAUUCCUGACGCUGAGGUGCGAAAGCUAGGGGAGCAAACGGGAUUAGAUACCCCGGCAGUCCUAGCCUUAAACGAUGGGCACUAAGUAGAGGGGUUUU
rnacentral:rRNA from 1 species